AUUAUAAGAUGAGUUGGGAAAGUUUUUUCGCUAAAGGAUUGGGCUAUAUGGUAUCAGCUUGUUGGUGAGGUAACGGCUCACCAAGGCUAUGACGCCUAACUGGUCUGAGAGGAUGAUCAGUCACACUGGAACUGAGACACGGUCCAGACUCCUACGGGAGGCAGCAGUGGGGAAUAUUACACAAUGGAGGAAACUCUGAUGUAGCAACGCCGCGUGGAGGAUGACACAUUUCGGUGCGUAAACUCCUUUUAUAUGGGAAGAUAAUGACGGUACCAUAUGAAUAAGCACCGGCUAACUCCGUGCCAGCAGCCGCGGUAAUACGGAGGGUGCAAGCGCUACUCGGAAUCACUGGGCGUAAAGGGUGCGUAGGCUGGCUUCUAAGUCAGAUGUGAAAUCCAAUGGCUCAACCAUUGAACUGCAUUUGAAACUGGGAGCCUAGAGUUCAGAAGGGGCAGAUGGAAUUAGUGGUGUAGGGGUAAAAUCCGUAGAUAUCACUAGGAAUAUCAAAAGCGA
rnacentral:rRNA from 1 species